rnacentral:rRNA from 1 species
AACGAACGCUGGCGGCAGGCUUAACACAUGCAAGUCGAGCGCCACGCAAGGGGAGCGGCAGACGGGGGAGUAACGCGUGGGAAUCUACCCAUCUCUACGGAAUAACGCAUGGAAACGUGUGCUAAUACCGUAUACGUCCUUCGGGAGAAAGAUUUAUCGGAGAUGGAUGAGCCCGCGUUGGAUUAGCUAGUUGGUGGGGUAAAGGCCUACCAAGGCGACGAUCCAUAGCUGGUCUGAGAGGAGGAUCAGCCACACUGGGGAUGAGACACGGCCCAGACUUCUACGGGAGGCAGCAGUGGCGAAUAUUGAACAAUGGGCGCAAGCCUGAUCCAGCCAUGCUGCGUGAGUGAUGAAGGCCCUAAGGUUGUAAAGCUCUUUCACCGGUGAAGAGAAUGACGGUAACCGGAGAAGAAGCCCCGGCUAACUUCGUGCCAGCAGCCGCAGUAAAAC